AACUUUCAACAACGGAUCUCUUGGUUCUCGCAUCGAUGAAGAACGCAGCGAAAUGCGAUAAGUAGUGUGAAUUGCAGAAUUCAGUGAAUCAUCGAAUCUUUGAACGCACAUUGCGCCUCUCGGUAUUCCGGGAGGCAUGCCUGUUCGAGCG
rnacentral:rRNA from 1 species